GGGCCUUUCCCUAUCAGGGGAUGCGGAGCGACAGGGAGGCGGCAAGCGGCCACGUCCCAGCGCCAGACGUUUGCCGCGUCAAUACUGCAUGCAAAGGGAAAUGGUGUAGACUCGAUGCCUGUGUCCCCCCAAAAUUCAGAUAUGGAAACCUAACCCCGAUUUGAUGGUGUGGGAAAGUGAGGGCUGUCGGCAGCGACUAGGUCAUGGGGCUGGAGCCCAUGUGAGAGAUCGGUGCCUUACAGAGAGUCUCCAGGGAGCUCCCUGCAGACCCUUCUGCCUCCAGGGGAAGCCACAGCCAGAAGAAAGAUUCCCGUAAACUAGGAAGACAGCCCUCACCAGACCCAGAUCUGCAAUGCCUUGACCAAGGCAAAGGUCUCAUCAAUCAAGGGACUUGUUCUGUGGACAUUUCUCGAAUUCUGAUACUAGGACAGCUGAUCUGCACUCACCAGUUUCCUGGACACCUCAGCCCUGUUCCCGAUGUGGACUCUAGAGCAGCACGGUAGAAGGCGAGCCCUCGGCCACCCCACGCGUUUCAGGAGAGACGGAGAGGCAUAACCGUGCAGUCAUCUGGCUGCUUGGCUUUCUUCAUGUCAAGAGUUGGCAGCAAUUGAGCAGCUGCAUGUCCGAUGACAGGACGCUGGACGCCUGCAAACUUACCAUGGCAAAUGGACGCACCAUCAAAUCCACACGGUGCAACUGAAAAAAGAAAAAAACAUUUUGAUAAAGUGGUGGGUAAUGCUUUAUUGGAAGAGGUUACAACUUGGUGCAUAGAAAGAGGGAAAAAAUUUUAGGAUAAUAAAUGGCUUUAAGCACAGAGAGGAUUUUCAGCAGUGUUGCCAUCUCCCGGGCAAUCCACUUGCUACGGAAAUGCUGAUCCAACUCAUCAAGAAGCAGUUUGCAAGUUGAGCAGACUGUCGGAUGGAUAGCUCUGAACUGGGGGAGGAUGUCGUGGUGCCAUCUCUGUAACAUUUUGCGGACGUCGUUGCUUGGCAUUAUCUUCCGUUGAUUGCAUUUGA